rnacentral:rRNA from 1 species
UAGGAGGCGGGAGAGGCGGACGGUACUCCGCGUGUAGGGGUAAAAUCCUUUGAUCCGCGGAAGACCACCAGUGGCGAAGGCGGUCCGCCAGAACGCGCUCGACGGUGAGGGAUGAAAGCUGGGGGAGCGAACCGGAUUAGAUACCCGGGUAGUCCCAGCCGUAAACGAUG